rnacentral:rRNA from 1 species
AGAAUCAACGCUGGCGGCGUGCCUAACACAUGCAAGUCGAACGAGAAAGGGUAGCAAUACCUGAGUAAAGUGGCGCACGGGUGAGUAACACGUGACUAACCUACCCUGGAGUGGGGGAUAACUGAGGGAAACCUUAGCUAAUACCGCAUAACACCUACGGGUCAAAGGAGCAAUUCGCUUCAGGAGGGGGUCGCGGCCGAUUAGUUAGUUGGCGGGGUAAUGGCCCACCAAGACAGUGAUCGGUAUCCGGCCUGAGAGGGCGCACGGACACACUGGAACUGAAACACGGUCCAGACUCCUACGGGAGGCAGCAGUGGGGAAUUUUGCGCAAUGGGGGAAACCCUGACGCAGCAACGCCGCGUGGAGGAUGAAGUCCUUCGGGACGUAAACUCCUUUCGAUCGGGACGAUAAUGACGGUACCGGAAGAAGAGGCCCCGGCUAACUUCGUGCCAGCAGCCGC